rnacentral:rRNA from 1 species
UACGGAGGGAGCUAGCGUUGUUCGGAUUUACUGGGCGUAAAGGGCGCGUAGGCGGCCAGCACAAGUCAGUUGUGAAAUCUCCGAGCUUAACUCGGAACGGUCAACUGAUACUGUGCGGCUAGAGUGCGGAAGGGGCAACUGGAAUUCUUGGUGUAGCGGUGAAAUGCGUAGAUAUCAAGAGGAACACCUGCGGCGAAGGCGGGUUGCUGGGCCGACACUGACGCUGAGGCGCGAAAGCUAGGGGAGCGAACGGG